GUGGGGAAUUUUGGACAAUGGGCGCAAGCCUGAUCCAGCAAUGCCGCGUGCAGGAAGAAGGCCUUCGGGUUGUAAACUGCUUUUGUACGGAACGAAACGGUCCUGGUUAAUACCCGGGGCUAAUGACGGUACCGUAAGAAUAAGCACCGGCUAACUACGUGCCAACAGCCGCGGUAAUACGUAGGGUGCAAGCGUUAAUCGGAAUUACUGGGCGUAAAGCGUGCGCAGGCGGUGCUGUAAGACAGGCGUGAAAUCCCCGGGCUUAACCGGGGAAUUGCGCUUGUGACUGCAGUGCUGGAGUGCGGCAGAGGGGGAUGGAAUUCCGCGUGUAGCAGUGAAAUGCGUAGAUAUGCGGAGGAACACCGAUGGCGAAGGCAGUCCCCUGGGCCUGUACUGACGCUCAUGCACGAAAGCGUGGGGAGCAAACAGGAUUAGAAACCCGUGUAGUCC
rnacentral:rRNA from 1 species